AUUGAACGCUGGCGGAAUGCUUUACACAUGCAAGUCGAGCGGCAGCGCGGGGCAACCUGGCGGCGAGCGGCGAACGGGUGAGUAAUGCAUCGGAACGUACCCAGUCGUGGGGGAUAACUGUCCGAAAGGACAGCUAAUACCGCAUACGUCCUGAGGGAGAAAGCGGGGGAUCGCAAGACCUCGCGCGAUUGGAGCGGCCGAUGCCGGAUUAGCUAGUUGGUAGGGUAAAGGCCUACCAAGGCAACGAUCUGUAGUUGGUCUGAGAGGACGACCAGCCACACUGGGACUGAGACACGGCCCAGACUCCUACGGGAGGCAGCAGUGGGGAAUUUUGGACAAUGGGCGCAAGCCUGAUCCAGCAAUGCCGCGUGCAGGAAGAAGGCCUCGGUUGUAACUAGCUUUUGUUCUAGGAAGGAAAUACUUACUGGGUUAAGUACCUUACGGGAGGAGUGACGGUACCUGAAGAAUAAGACA
rnacentral:rRNA from 1 species